rnacentral:tRNA from 1 species
GCCGGAGUAGCUCAGGGGUAGAGCAGCUCAUUCGUAAUGAGCAGGUCAGGGGUUCAAAUCCCCUCUCCGGCU